rnacentral:lncRNA from 1 species
CCAACACAAGAUUAGAUGUAUUGCUAUAGAGGAUUUUAGAUGUUGGUUCGUGGAAGCCAUGAUGCAAAAGAAAGGAAAGAGAUGGAAAACCAUAUAAGCACUGAUACCGUAUUGAGUUGAGAAGAAAUGAGGGUAAGUACAUUUGAUGUCUUAUCUAAUUCUCCAAUAAAUGUAUUUUUAUAUAGACAUAACAGAAUAACAAACACCUAACAAAUAAUUAAUCUAACUAAGACUGAAUACUAUCCAAUACAAGCAAACUUUACAUUUACUCAGAUUACAUGGAAAGUUUUACAAAACCUCAUAUUUUCAAACUAUAAUUUCUAGGAAAACUAUAAUGCAUUUACAACAAACCCUCCCAAAAAAUAAUAACAAUAAAUAAAUAAACAACCAACCUUUUGAAAGACAUUAUUUUGUAUAGAGUAAAAAAAGGCCAAGUUGAUUCCAAAUGGAAAGCAUCGUCCUUGGUUAUUUGAAUUUGUUGGGUAUAAGUUGUUAUGAGAUAUCUUCAAUCUUAUCCAAGCCUGAAUGCUCCAGCUGUGUUUGAGCUCUGUUAAUGGAGACUGGAACACCUUCACUUCCAGCUUUAUUUCAUAUGUAUGUAAAUAAAAUAAUCAAAAUAACAAUGGUUGACUUUUGUAAUUACGGAUAAGGGUCGAUCCAACAUCUGUCAUUCUUUGCUGCAUCAGUCCAUCGAUCCUUGAAAAUCUGCAUUUCUAAGGAAGAUUGCAUCCUCACCUACACAUUUUAGGAUAAAUUACAAACCACUAACAACCUACUCAAGAUCGGAAAAAAAGAAAUACUGGGAUUGAUUGUAGUAACUUACUUUGACUCUAUUAUUCACUUGGGGUUCCUGCAAGAAUUGAACACUAAGCUAGGUCUUAUAAUGGAAGAAAAUGGAAUAUAAAUUUCGGUGAGUUUAGAGUUUUCAGAAGACAAACCGAUCUAUCUAAGUUUGAUGAGUCUUUCUUCAACGCAGCAUCGGAAUUCAGCUGCUCGGAUGGGAAGGUCAGUUUAGUGCCAUAAUAUACACUGGAUAACUUAAUGCUAAAUGAAAGCUAGAGAAAAAUCAUAGUAAUAGUAAGUGCAACAAAUGACCGGUUGAAGUCCUAAAAUUCACAGGAUGGUUUGACUGAAGAACUUUACCGCGUUGUCAUGGGAAGCACCAAGCGUUGGCAGUCCUAAAUGUACUAUGUAUUCUGCAUCAACGACACCAACUUUUU